AUAUAUAAAAAUAAAUUAAUUCAUCUGAUUUGUAAUCAGAAGGUCCCGAGUUCGAUUCUUGGUGU
rnacentral:tRNA from 1 species